GAUGAAGAACGUAGUGAAAUGCGAUAAGUAGUGUGAAUUGCAGAAUUCAGUGAAUCAUCGAAUCUUUGAACGCACAUUGCGCCCUUUGGUAUUCCUUAGGGCAUGCCUGUUCGAGCGUCAUUUAAACCUUCAAGCUCAGCUUGGUGUUGGGUGACUGUCCGCCGCCUCCGGGCGGUCGGACUCGCCUCAAAUCGAUUGGCGGCCGGUACUUUGGCUUCGAGCGCAGCAGAAACGCGAACUCGAGGCCGUCGUCCUGGCUCCCAGAAGCUAUCUUCACAAUUUUGACCUCGGAUCAGGUAGGGAUACCCGCUGAACUUAAGCAUAUCAAUAAGCGGAGGA
rnacentral:misc_RNA from 1 species